UACGUAGGGUGCAAGCGUUAAUCGGAAUUACUGGGCGUAAAGCGUGCGCAGGCGGGUGUGUAAGACAGAUGUGAAAUCCCCGGGCUUAACCUGGGAAUUGCGCUUGAAACUAGCGGGCUUGAGUGUGGCAGAGGGGGGUGGAAUUCCACGUGUAGCAGUGAAAUGCGUAGAGAUGUGGAGGAACACCGAUGGCGAAGGCAGCCCCCUGGGUCAACACUGACGCUCAUGCACGAAAGCGUGGGGAGCAAACAGG
rnacentral:rRNA from 1 species